rnacentral:rRNA from 1 species
AGAACGAACGCUGGCGGCAUGCCUAAUACAUGCAAGUCGAACGAACACUUCGGUGUUAGUGGCGCACGGGUGCGUAACGCGUGGGAAUCUGCCCCUGGGUUCGGAAUAACAGUUGGAAACGACUGCUAAUACCGGAUGAUGACGAAAGUCCAAAGAUUUAUCGCCCAGGGAUGAGCCCGCGUAGGAUUAGCUAGUUGGUGAGGUAAAGGCUCACCAAGGCGACGAUCCUUAGCUGGUCUGAGAGGAUGAUCAGCCACACUGGGACUGAGACACGGCCCAGACUCCUACGGGAGGCAGCAGUAGGGAAUAUUGGACAAUGGGCGCAAGCCUGAUCCAGCAAUGCCGCGUGAGUGAUGAAGGCCUUAGGGUUGUAAAGCUCUUUUACCCGAGAUGAUAAUGACAGUAUCGGAGAAUAAGCCCCGGACUAACUCCGUGCCAGCAGCCGC